GUCAACGAUCAUACCAUGUUGAAAACACCAGUUCUCGUCCGAUCACUGAAGUUAAGCAACAUCGGGCGCGAUUAGUACUUAGAUGGGUGACCGCUUGGGAACGUCCCGUGUCGUUGGCC
rnacentral:rRNA from 2 species